rnacentral:lncRNA from 1 species
UUUUUUUUUUUUUGAGACAGGGUCUUACUCUGUCACCCAGGCUGGAGUGCAAUGGCAUGAUCUCGACUCACUGCAGCCUCAACCUCCUGGGUUCAAGCAACUCUUCUGCCUCAGCCUCCCAAGAAGCUGGGAUUACAGACGUGCACCACCAAGCCUGGCUAAUUUUUGUAUUUUUAAUAGAGGGUUUCACCGUGUUGGCCAGGCUGGUCUCGAACUCCUGACCUCGUGAUCCUCUGCUUCGGCCUCCCAAAUUGUGGGGAUUACAGGCGUGAGCCACCGCACCUGGCCUGGGACGGAAUUUUAAGUGAACUGCGGCCCUUAGCUCAUGAGCCCAGCUUCAGUGUCUGAUGAAACGACACCGCAGGGAUGGGGGAGAGGGGAAGAUUCGCAGGUCACGCCGAAACCUCUGGUUAGCCCCCGGCUUCCACAUCCUUCCCAAAAUCUUUAGCCCAAGUGCCGCACAGCCCCUUUUGCAUGUCUUCCCCACUCCUUGGUGGCAGAGGCCCCUGUUGGUAAAGCAACAAUAGAGAAGUGGAGAAGAUAAAGAGCUGUGAAAACUGCCCCAGAGAAGCUGCAAGAAGCUUUGCUGGAAUCAGGUUUUGCAUCUCCGAAUCGGAGCUCCAUUUGUUGGGUCGGGGACCAUGCUUAGUGGUUCAAGAACUGACAGAAGAGGUGUUUGCAAAAUGCUUGUUGGGAGGAUAAAGAAACAGCUAAAGGAAAUUUUAUCUGAGCCUGAGAGCCGCCUGCACCAGCACAAAGGUAGGAUUCAAAAGGUCCUGAUUCCAAUUAUACAAGAGAAAACACACUGACUGCAAGUGCAGUUGAAGAAGGUUCUCAGAAGGGCACGCUGGAACCGCUCCCCGGUGCCAGGAGAGGUGUUUGAACUACGUGCUGCUGGGGCGCCCAGACAGGGGCUUCCCCACGAUCCAGGAAAUCAGAGCUUUUCCAAUGUUGGCUUGAAAUCGUGGCUAACAAGACAGAAAAGCACUCUUCUCAACCCCAGGGGAAGACUGGGGAGGUGGGCGGGGCCCCAGGGCCCACUGAUUCCAUCCAAGAGGGGGCAUGGAAGGACAGCGGCGAGCCCACGUCUGGAGCUUCUCCCUCCUGUGAAAGGCAAACAGAAUCCUGAGAUGCCAAACUCACUGUUCCAAAGGGAAAGGGAAAGCUUGGAAAUGGCGUCACGCAAAAACCUGCCUCUCAGGAGAACCAGUCUGUUUCUGAACAGAGAGCUUGCAAGACGGCCGGCCGUGUAUCUCCCCGGGAGGCCUCCCGCACUCUGACAGUGUGGAUGAGCAGCUGAUCCUCGCGAGUGUGGGACAAAAGCAAGACUAGGGCUUGCUUUUAUUUUUGUUCAGGGACACAGAGCCAACACCACCAGCUGCUAAAGGAAUAAAACCACAUCUUGCUUGUUUAAAGCAGUAAAGGAACAAAAUUACAUAGGCCAGGAGGUGCUUUUGUGUCUCCAGCCGUGACUUCUGGUUAAACACUCGAGAAAAACACAGGCUUGGCUUUUUCUUCUUUUCUGUGUCUACUCUAUCUGACAUCAGAUGCAGGUUUGCUGAGUGCCAGGUGAGUGCCUAAAGGGCUGCUCCCCCACCUCCCCCUUUCACUUGCAACGUGCACUCAGCGCGUGCUAAUUAAAGCCUCCCAGGAGCCUGACCACUGGCCUCAUUGCCUACCCACCGUCUUCUCUCUCCCCCUUCCCCCUGCCCUCUCCUCUCCUCCUCUUUUAAAUACUCAGCACCUCAAAACGCUCUCUGGAAAAGGCCUGGCCACAGGUCCUGCUGUGACUGGUGCCGCUUUUUCCUGGGCAGAUUCUCAACCUUGGCAUCAUAACCCUCUAAGCUGACUGAGACCUGGCUCAGACACUUUCAGUUUUGUGCUCCAAACACUGAGUGUUUGGUAACUUUACCCAGAAGUUCUUAGAUUUUCAGCCACUCAAGCCAGGCUCUGAUGUCCACAAUAAGUCCAGAUCUAGAACAGUUUGCGGAAUGAAGGGAUCUGGCUGAGAGAUGGGAGUUGGAACAGUUGCGGCACCGUCAGCCUCACAUGAACAGAAACAAAUUACUCAGACAAACGAGAAGAGCAAGGCCCAACUGGAAAAGCAUGUGGGUGCUGACCCAAUGAGGCCAAUCAUGCGUGAUUGGGACCUUCUGAGUGACUUGGUG